rnacentral:lncRNA from 1 species
CCUCCUUCUUUUUCUCAGGAGGAGAAGGUCAUAAAUUCAUCUUCCAAAGCCCCUCAUUUGUGGAGGGAGUGACAUCAUCAGUAAGGAGACACCAGCAUAUUAAAUACAUCAUCCAACUGUCUCUGAUAAAGGAAAAUGAGACACCUUCCUGAGUCAUGAAUUUGGUGGUUUUCAGACCGCAGUAAAGUAUAAGCUGUGUUUGACCUGAGACGUCGCACUCCAUCACAGGCCAAGGACACAAGGGCUUAGGGCGAGACCCAGCCCCAGUUUACACCUGGAUUCCGAAUAUACCAGCCUUGGACUGGACUGAUGUGGCUCCUAGCAGCCCUCAGACUCUCCCAGGACUUUAGGAAGAAGGUAAAAGCAUAGAAGGACCACAGUGGGCACAGGUGAGCUUCCAGCUAUACGCCCCAGGACAGCAUCCAGGAGUGGGCAGGUCUUUCCCGUCGCAGACAGCCAGACAUGAGCCAGCCCUACAGGAGCACCCAGAGCUCAGAGGCAUCAAAACAGCCCUGUGCUUUGAGGAAUUGCCGCUGCUGAAUGCUUCUCCCUAUGGCUGCGGACCUGGAGCCUUUAUAAAGUGAGCGAGCACACCGUCCUGUCCAGUCUCAGCUGGGAAGCCAGCCAGCCAUGAGGCUCUGCUACCUUCUCUUUGUGCUGCUCUUCUUGUUCUUGCUGCCUGUUCCAGCUUAUGUACUUAAACAUCAUGAAGAAUGGGAGCAUCAUGAAAACAUCCACCAAGAAAGGGGAAAAGCAUCAACAGUAGAUAAAGAUCAGGAACAGUAGGGUUUGGGGAAUACUGUUUUUCCCCUUUGAUCUGGCCAAUCAAAGGGCCAAUCAGGUUUUUUUUCCAUUUCCCUCAUGUGCAAACCAGACUCACGGCGUGGUCCCCUCCAUGGAUGGACGCUUGUAGCGGAUGGUGCUCCCACUGGGACCCUGGUGUGCUGACCAUGGCGACUGCCCAGCUGCUGCAAGCCAGAUGAAGGUGCUUUCCCCUGGACGGGUGAGAUUCAUCUGCUAAGUGCUAUUGUAAAUUCACUUCUUUCCUUUCGCUUUGAUCCUUGAUCUGUACUAGCCUAAGUACUUUAAUAAAUUGGUUUCUGUUACCAACCUGUGGACUACAUCUUGAAUUCUUUAAAAGAACCACUGAAGCAAAGCAAAACGUUUUUGGCAUAGUCAGCAUGUUUCGAGAUGCUAUUGCUUUUCCAUGGGAAAGUUGAUCCUAUUCCAGGAUGGGAAGAUCCUUCUUUUAGCAGUUUAGCUCAGCAAUGAGAAAGGGAGCUGGACUAUGUGAAAAUUGGG